rnacentral:rRNA from 1 species
UACGUAGGGUGCAAGCGUUGUCCGGAAUUAUUGGGCGUAAAGGGUAGGUAGGUGGUCUCAUUUGUCUGGGGUGAAAGCCUUGAGCUUAACUCAAGAAGUGCCCUAGAAACGGUGAGACUGGAGUCCUGGAGAGGGUCGUGGAAUUCCCGGUGUAGCGGUGAAAUGCGUAGAGAUCGGGAGGAACACCAGCGGCGAAGGCGGCGACCUGGACAGGUACUGACACUCAACUACGAAAGCGUGGGGAGCAAACAGG